rnacentral:misc_RNA from 1 species
GGACCGCUUUUGCACCAGCUUCACCAGGGUAACCAAUCCAAAGAAUGCUAGCAACUUUCGGGUCUAGUUUGGCAAAUGAUACAUCAAGCGGUCCUCCACCAGUAAGAACCAGAAUCACUGGCUUUUUACUAGCUGCUGCAACAGAAGAUACCAGAGCCCUUUGUUUACCAGGUAACAAAAGACUAACCCGGUCAAGUUCUUCAGUUUCUUGUGACAAAUCAAGCCCAGCAACUACAAUUACAUAAUCAGCACUUUUGGCAAUAUCUAUUGCUU